UACGGGGGGGGUAAGCGUUGUUCGGAAUUACUGGGCGUAAAGGGCUCGUAGGCGGCCAACUAAGUCAGACGUGAAAUCCCUCAGCUUAACUGGGGAACUGCGUCUGAUACUGGAUGGCUUGGAUUCGGGAGAGGAAUGCGGAAUUCCAGGUGUAGCGGUGAAAUGCGUAGAGAUGUGGAGGAACACCGAUGGCGAAGGCAGCCUCCUGGGCCAACACUGACGCUCAUGCACGAAAGCGUGGGGAGCAAACAGG
rnacentral:rRNA from 1 species